GGGAGCAUGGGGUAACACGGCAUCCUCACGGGCUCCAGACCCGUUGAUCUGGGUUCAAAUCCCAGUGCUCCCA
rnacentral:tRNA from 2 species